rnacentral:rRNA from 1 species
UCAGCUCGUGUCGUGAGAUGUUGGGUUAAGUCCCGCAACGAGCGCAACCCCUGCCUCUAGUUGCCAUCAAGUUUAGGUUUUUACCUAGAUGUUGGGUACUUUAUAGGGACUGCCGGUGAUAAGCCGGAGGAAGGUGGGGAUGACGUCAAGUCCUCAUGGCCCUUAUGGGCUGGGCUACACACGUGCUACAAUGGUGGUUACAAUGGGUUGCGAAGUCGCGAGGCGGAGCUAAUCCCCAAAAGCCAUCUCAGUUCGGAUUGCACUCUGCAACUCGAGUGCAUGAAGUCGGAAUCGCUAGUAAUCGCGGAUCAGCAUGCCGCGGUGAAUACGUUCUCGGGCCUUGUACACACCGCCCGUCACACCAUGGGAGUUGGUUUUGCCUGAAGACGGUGUGCUAACCGCAAGGAGGCAGCCGGCCACGGUAGGGUCAGCGACUGGGGUGAAGUCGUAACAAGGUAACCA